rnacentral:misc_RNA from 1 species
AAUUCUCGACUGCCUCUCGGGGUGAAGUCGGAUUUGAAGCAUGUUUUUGCCAGGCUUUGUUGCUCUGGCUGCUUCUAAAAGCAUUCGAGCCCCUCUUGUGCAAAAGUAUCUUUGACGUGAUAACCAAUCUGCGUCGUGGAGAAAAAGAGACUAGCGAUGGGCUCGUCAACGGUUUUGGUGUUGACCU